CGAAGGGAAACCGAGUCUUAACUGGGCGUUAAGUUGCAGGGUAUAGACCCGAAACCCGGUGAUCUAGCCAUGGGCAGGUUGAAGGUUGGGUAACACUAACUGGAGGACCGAACCGACUAAUGUUGAAAAAUUAGCGGAUGACUUGUGGCUGGGGGUGAAAGGCCAAUCAAACCGGGAGAUAGCUGGUUCUCCCCGAAAGCUAUUUAGGUAGCGCCUCGUGAAUUCAUCUCCGGGGGUAGAGCACUGUUUCGGCAAGGGGGUCAUCCCGACUUACCAACCCGAUGCAAACUGCGAAUACCGGAGAAUGUUAUCACGGGAGACACACGGCGGGUGCUAACGUCCGUCGUGAAGAGGGAAACAACCCAGACCGCCAGCUAAGGUCCCAAAGUCAUGGUUAAGUGGGAAACGAUGUGGGAAGGCCCAGACAGCCAGGAUGUUGGCUUAGAAGCAGCCAUCAUUUAAAGAAAGCGUAAUAGCUCACUGGUCGAGUCGGCCUGCGCGGAAGAUGUAACGGGGCUAAACCAUGCACCGAAGCUGCGGCAGCGACACUGUGUGUUGUUGGGUAGGGGAGCGUUCUGUAAGCCUGUGAAGGUGUGCUGUGAGGCAUGCUGGAGGUAUCAGAAGUGCGAAUGCUGACAUAAGUAACGAUAAAGCGGGUGAAAAGCCCGCUCGCCGGAAGACCAAGGGUUCCUGUCCAACGUUAAUCGGGGCAGGGUGAGUCGACCCCUAAGGCGAGGCCGAAAGGCGUAGUCGAUGGGAAACAGGUUAAUAUUCCUGUACUUGGUGUUACUGCGAAGGGGGGACGGAGAAGGCUAUGUUGGCCGGGCGACGGUUGUCCCGGUUUAAGCGUGUAGGCUGGUUUUCCAGGCAAAUCCGGAAAAUCAAGGCUGAGGCGUGAUGACGAGGCACUACGGUGCUGAAGCAACAAAUGCCCUGCUUCCAGGAAAAGCCUCUAAGCAUCAGGUAACAUCAAAUCGUACCCCAAACCGACACAGGUGGUCAGGUAGAGAAUACCAAGGCGCUUGAGAGAACUCGGGUGAAGGAACUAGGCAAAAUGGUGCCGUAACUUCGGGAGAAGGCACGCUGAUAUGUAGGUGAAGUCCCUCGCGGAUGGAGCUGAAAUCAGUCGAAGAUACCAGCUGGCUGCAACUGUUUAUUAAAAACACAGCACUGUGCAAACACGAAAGUGGACGUAUACGGUGUGACGCCUGCCCGGUGCCGGAAGGUUAAUUGAUGGGGUCAGCGCAAGCGAAGCUCUUGAUCGAAGCCCCGGUAAACGGCGGCCGUAACUAUAACGGUCCUAAGGUAGCGAAAUUCCUUGUCGGGUAAGUUCCGACCUGCACGAAUGGCGUAAUGAUGGCCAGGCUGUCUCCACCCGAGACUCAGUGAAAUUGAACUCGCUGUGAAGAUGCAGUGUACCCGCGGCAAGACGGAAAGACCCCGUGAACCUUUACUAUAGCUUGACACUGAACAUUGAGCCUUGAUGUGUAGGAUAGGUGGGAGGCUUUGAAGUGUGGACGCCAGUCUGCAUGGAGCCGACCUUGAAAUACCACCCUUUAAUGUUUGAUGUUCUAACGUGGACCCGUGAUCCGGGUUGCGGACAGUGUCUGGUGGGUAGUUUGACUGGGGCGGUCUCCUCCUAAAGAGUAACGGAGGAGCACGAAGGUUGGCUAAUCCUGGUCGGACAUCAGGAGGUUAGUGCAAUGGCAUAAGCCAGCUUGACUGCGAGCGUGACGGCGCGAGCAGGUGCGAAAGCAGGUCAUAGUGAUCCGGUGGUUCUGAAUGGAAGGGCCAUCGCUCAACGGAUAAAAGGUACUCCGGGGAUAACAGGCUGAUACCGCCCAAGAGUUCAUAUCGACGGCGGUGUUUGGCACCUCGAUGUCGGCUCAUCACAUCCUGGGGCUGAAGUAGGUCCCAAGGGUAUGGCUGUUCGCCAUUUAAAGUGGUACGCGAGCUGGGUUUAGAACGUCGUGAGACAGUUCGGUCCCUAUCUGCCGUGGGCGCUGGAGAACUGAGGGGGGCUGCUCCUAGUACGAGAGGACCGGAGUGGACGCAUCACUGGUGUUCGGGUUGUCAUGCCAAUGGCACUGCCCGGUAGCUAAAUGCGGAAGAGAUAAGUGCUGAAAGCAUCUAAGCACGAAACUUGCCCCGAGAUGAGUUCUCCCUGACCCUUUAAGGGUCCUGAAGGAACGUUGAAGACGACGACGUUGAUAGGCCGGGUGUGUAAGCGCAGCGAUGCGUUGAGCUAACCGGUACUAAUGAACCGUGAGGCUUAACCUUACAACGCCGAAGGUGUUU
rnacentral:rRNA from 1 species